AGAUUAUCCAGCUUGCUGGAUAUGAAAGUGGCGCACGGGUGCGUAACGCGUAUGCAACCUACCUUAAUCAGGGGGAUAGCCCGGAGAAAUCCGGAUUAAUACCGCAUAAAAUCACAGCACAGCAUUGUGUAAUGAUCAAACAUUUAUGGGAUUGAGAUGGGCAUGCGUGUCAUUAGCUAGUUGGCGGGGUAACGGCCCACCAAGGCGACGAUGACUAGGGGAUCUGAGAGGAUGACCCCCCACACUGGUACUGAGACACGGACCAGACUCCUACGGGAGGCAGCAGUAAGGAAUAUUGGUCAAUGGAGGCAACUCUGAACCAGCCAUGCCGCGUGCAGGAAGACUGCCCUAUGGGUUGUAAACUGCUUUUAUCCGGGAAUAAACCUUUCUACGUGUAGAGAGCUGAAUGUACCGGAAGAAUAAGGAUCGGCUAACUCCGUGCCAGCAGCCGCGGUAAUACGGAGGAUCCAAGCGUUAUCCGGAUUUAUUGGGUUUAAAGGGUGCGUAGGCGGCCUGUUAAGUCAGGGGUGAAAGACGGUAGCUCAACUAUCGCAGUGCCCUUGAUACUGAUGGGCUUGAAUGGACUAGAGGUAGGCGGAAUGAGACAAGUAGCGGUGAAAUGCAUAGAUAUGUCUCAGAACACCGAUUGCGAAGGCAGCUUACUAUGGUUUAAUUGACGCUGAGGCACGAAAGCGUGGGGAUCAAACAGGAUUAGAUACCCUGGUAGUCCACGCCCUAAACGAUGAACACUCGCUGUUGGCGAUACACAGUCAGCGGCUAAGCGAAAGCGUUAAGUGUUCCACCUGGGGAGUACGGUCGCAAGAUUGAAACUCAAAGGAAUUGACGGGGGCCCGCACAAGCGGAGGAGCAUGUGGUUUAAUUCGAUGAUACGCGAGGAACCUUACCCGGGCUUGAAAGUUAGUGAAUUAUCCA
rnacentral:rRNA from 1 species